rnacentral:misc_RNA from 1 species
AAGUCGUAACAAGGUUUCCGUAGGUGAACCUGCGGAAGGAUCAUUAACACUUUUUAUAAUUUAAAUUUCUUUCUUUCGUUAAAAAGAGAAAGAAAUUUAUAUUUCAAAACCCCACAAUUUUGGAUGAAUUUAAUUAAUUUAAUUUUUAUUUAUUAUUUAAUUUUUUAUAACUAAAAUAUUUUAGACUAAAAUCUAUUUUAUAUAAAUUUAUUUAUAAUUUAAAAAACAACUCUUAACAACGGAUAUCUUGGCUCUC